AGUUUUGAGCUAAAUAUAUUUAUAAUAUUAGUUAUUUAUGAAGGUGUUGUAAAAUCUUUAUUUAAAAUUAUAUUUAGGGGUGAUAGGCCUUUCAAAAACUAAGAUAUCUUGAAUCUAAUUAAAAGUAUGUAGUACAAUUAACACAACUAUUAAGUGAUUAGGCUUUAUAGAAUUAUUAACUUAUAAGAUUUUAUUUACUAUAAUUUAAUAAUUAAGUACAUAAAUAUAUUAAUAUUCAUAUAUUAUAGUUUAUAAAAGAGUAAUUAGAUAGAUUUAAGUUCAUAUUUCUUAUAAUAAUGUUAAUAUUAGUAUUAAGUUUAUAUUUAUAUGAUGAACUCGGCAAAAAUAUUUUCUCAACUGUUUAUCAAAAACAUAACUAUGUGAUUGAAUACAUAGCGGUUUCUGCUCAA
rnacentral:rRNA from 1 species